UACGUAGGGUGCAAGCGUUAAUCGGAAUUACUGGGCGUAAAGCGCGCGCAGGCGGUCUUCCAAGUCAGUGGUGAAAGCCCGGAGCUCAACUCCGGAACUGCCAUUGAAACUGUUAGACUUGAGGACGAGAGAGGUGAGUGGAAUUCCCAGUGUAGAGGUGAAAUUCGUAGAUAUUGGGAAGAACACCAGUGGCGAAGGCGGCUCACUGGCUCGUAUCUGACGCUCAGGCGCGAUAGCGUGGGGAUCAGACAGG
rnacentral:rRNA from 1 species